rnacentral:rRNA from 1 species
GAUGAACGCUAGCUACAGGCUUAACACAUGCAAGUCGAGGGGCAGCAUCGCGAUAGCUUGCUAUUGCGGAUGGCGACCGGCGCACGGGUGAGUAACGCGUAUCCAACCUUCCCGCAACUGGGGGAUAACCUUGCGAAAGUAAGACUAAUACCCCAUGGUCUCCAUAGAAGGCAUCUGAAAUGGAGUAAAGGUUUCGGCCGGUUGCGGAUGGGGAUGCGUCCGAUUAGCUUGACGGCGGGGUAACGGCCCACCGUGGCAUCGAUCGGUAGGGGUUCUGAGAGGAAGGUCCCCCCACAUUGGAACUGAGACACGGUCCAAACUCCUACGGGAGGCAGCAGUGAGGAAUAUUGGUCAAUGGGCGGAAGCCUGAACCAGCCAAGUAGCGUGAAGGACGACUGCCCUAUGGGUUGUAAACUUCUUUUAUGCGGGGAUAAAGUUCGCCACGUGUGGCGUUUUGCAGGUACCGCAUGAAUAAGGACCGGCUAAUUCCCGUGCCAGCAGCCGCGG